rnacentral:rRNA from 1 species
CCUACGGGAGGCAGCAGUGAGGAAUAUUGGUCAAUGGACGAGAGUCUGAACCAGCCAAGUAGCGUGAAGGAUGACUGCCCUAUGGGUUGUAAACUUCUUUUAUAUGGGAAUAAAACGUUCCACGUGUGGGAUUUUGUAUGUACCAUAUGAAUAAGGAUCGGCUAACUCCGUGCCAGCAGCCGCGGUAAUACGGAGGAUCCGAGCGUUAUCCGGAUUUAUUGGGUUUAAAGGGAGCGUAGGUGGAUUGUUAAGUCAGUUGUGAAAGUUUGCGGCGCAACCGUAAAAUUGCGGUUGAAACUGGCAGUCUUGAGUACAGGAGAGGUGGGCGGAAUUCGUGGUGUAGCGGUGAAAUGCUUAGAUAUCACGAAGAACUCCGAUUGCGAAGGCAGUUCACUGGACUGCAACUGACACUGAGGCUCGAAAGUGUGGGUAUCAAACAGGAUUAGAUACCCCAGUAGUC